UACGUAGGGGGCUAGCGUUGUCCGGAAUCAUUGGGCGUAAAGCGCGUGUAGGCGGUUCGGUAAGUCCGCUGUGAAAGUCGGGGGCUCAACCCUCGGAAGCCGGUGGAUACUGUCGGACUUGAGUACGGAAGAGGCGAGUGGAAUUCCUGGUGUAGCGGUGAAAUGCGCAGAUAUCAGGAGGAACACCGGUGGCGAAGGCGGGUCUCUGGGCCGAUACUGACGCUGAGGAGCGAAAGCGUGGGGAGCAAACAGG
rnacentral:rRNA from 1 species